rnacentral:rRNA from 1 species
GAUGAACGCUGGCGGCGUGCCUAAUACAUGCAAGUCGAGCGAACGGACGAGAAGCUUGCUUCUCUGAUGUUAGCGGCAGACGGGUGAGUAACACGUGGAUAACCUACCUAUAAGACUGGGAUAACUUCGGGAAACCGGAGCUAAUGCCGGAUAAUAUUUUGAACCGCAUGGUUCAAAAGUGAAAGACGGUCUUGCUGUCACUUAUAGAUGGAUCCGCGCUGCAUUAGCUAGUUGGUAAGGUAACGGCUUACCAAGGCAACGAUGCAUAGCCGACCUGAGAGGGUGAUCGGCCACACUGGAACUGAGACACGGUCCAGACUCCUACGGGAGGCAGCAGUAGGGAAUCUUCCGCAAUGGGCGAAAGCCUGACGGAGCAACGCCGCGUGAGUGAUGAAGGUCUUCGGAUCGUAAAACUCUGUUAUUAGGGAAGAACAUAUGUGUAAGUAACUGUGCACAUCUUGACGGUACCUAAUCAGAAAGCCACGGCUAACUACGUG